CAGUGCUUGCAAGCCUGUGUGUUGAGGGGUCUUUUGGUGAGCGGUUAACUCAUGUUUCAGAACAACAGGGCAGCAUUUGGAACAUAAAAGGGACAUGCAAGACGACUUUCUCGCCAAGGGGAAGCUCUGGGCUUAGGUCACGCUGAACCCUGUGGGUGCGCGGAGGUGCUCCAUGACCUGCACUGCAGCCUGCAGAAGGUAGAGGGCGCCAUGGGUGGAAUCCCACUUGGUCUCCAUUUCCGCUGUCAAGAUCCUUAACUUCCGGUGUCGCUAAUGGGAUGGGCUGACCCGUGUUUCACCGAGUGCUUGCUCUCUGUCUGCAGGGCCUGUGUGCGCAGAGUUUGGGUGUUGGAGGCCGCUGCGGAAGGGCUGGGCCGGGAGCUGCAGCGCCCGGGGCGUGGCGUGCCAAGUCUCAGCCCGGCAGACCCGGCUUGACGGACUCUGGCUCCCAGCAGGCCGGGCGAGCCCUCCAUGUUGGAAAGGCUUAGGAGAUGUUCAGGGGACCUGGCAAGGUUCAGGCCUGCUCCAGAGAAUUCGUGCUUCUCCACCCGCUUGGAUUUGGUGAAGACUUCAUAGACACAGGCGGUGGUGCCAGCCUUACAGCUAAAGAGACUUCCAGAACAUCCUGGGGCUAACCUGAGGGAGGGCCGCUGGAGAAGAGUGGCUAGGACGCGAACCUGUGGUAUCUUCAGAGGAAGUGAGCGUUUCCUCUGUGCAAACAGCACCCAUGAAAUCUCCCUGCUGUUACACGUUGUAAAUGGGUUUGUGUUCAGAACCAUUGGGGCUGCUUGGGGUCUGGUGUUGAGAAGAAUCAUAACCCUGAUACUAAAGAGAGCAGCAGGCACUGGGAAACAGAAUCCAACAUCAAGUUCAUUCCAGUCUCUGGCCCCAGAAAGCACGCUGGGGAAACUCUGCUUUAGGUAGUAGGAAUUCCUAUCAAAGUUGUUUACAAACUGUUUUGUGAUGCUGUGAGUUGUGAUGCAAAUCCUGUUUUCUUACUGAUUUACGUUCUGGGUUUGUGGACUGCCAAAAUUACAAAAAUAAAUCUUAAUUUGAGCUAUCAUAAGUUCAGACUUUGUGAUAGCUCAGAUGUGAAUCUAUGAACGUUUAUCUUCGUCUACUUCGUUAUCUGUUUCUUCUUAGAGAAUACAGAUGAACAGGACGAAAAUAAAAGAAGCCUGUAAUCCCAGCACUUUGGGAGGCCGAGGCGGGCAGAUCACGAGGUCAAGAGAUCGAGACCACCCUGGGUAAACAAGGUGAAACCUCGUCUCUACUAAAACUACAAAAAUUAGCUGGGCAUGGUGGCGCAUGCCUGUAAUCCCAGCUACUCAGGAGGCUGAGGCAGGAGAAUUGCCUGAACCCAGGAGGCGGAGGUUGCGGUGAGCCGAGAUCGCGCCAUUGCGCUCCAGCCUGGGUAGAGCUCCGUCUCAAAAAAAAAAAAAAAAAAAGCAAAACUCUGUCUCAAAAAAAAAAAAAAAAAAUCUUCGAUGGAAAUUACUUCCAAGCACCUACAAGUAUUUUAGAAAAGCCAAUAAUAGAAAACUUACAUUGUUCUAAAUAAGCACACAUGGAUUGAACACUGCUGGUCACCAUGGGGUGGGGGUGUCGGUAAGGAUAUAAAGAGAAAGAGGAAGUCUCUGCCCUCAGCAUUUAAAAGCAACACCAGGUCAGAUGUGGUGGCUCCUGCGUGUAAUCCCAGCACUUUGGCAGGCCAAGGCAGGAGGAUCGCUUGAGGCCAGGAAUUUGAGACCAGACCGGGGAAUAUAGCAAAAAAAAAAAAAAAAAAAAAAAAUUAGUCCAGCCUGGUAGCAUGCACCUGUAGUCCUAGCUACUUGGGAGGCUGAGGCUUUAGGAUCUCCUGAGCCCAGGAGUUGGAUGCUACAGUGAGCUAUGAUUGUGUUACUGCACUAUAGUCUGGGGGACAGAGUGAAACUCUGUCUCUAAAAAAAAUAAAAGUUAAAAGCAAAACGCCAAGGGCUCAAAUCGCUAAGGGCUCAAAUAAAUUUAAUACAAGACAGAGUGUUUUAAAUAUAUCCCUUUCAUUUCCAAACUUCUUAAAAGGGGAAAUUAUGUUUCUUGCUGCCCUCCUGUACCUCACACUCAAAUUUCAAACCAAUGAAGUGUGAUUUCUUUAAAAAAAUUUUUUUUUUAAUUUUCAAAACUUGGUUUUUACCUUUUAGAGACUAUUUUUUGGAGAUGGAGUUCUCACUAGGUUGCCCUGGCUAGGCUCCAAUUCCUAGGUACAAGCGAUCCUCCCGCCUCAGCCUCCCAAGUAGCUGGGACAACAUGCAUGUCCCUCCAUGCCUGGCUUGAAGCCUGAUUUCUAAUCCUUCCAAUCGACUGAAAUGCUUAACAUUCACUAAUCGAUAGGCAGUCAGUAGCCUGUCUUCAGUUCUCUUCCUUAAAUCUUCGUGGCGUUCAAUGCUACCGAUUGUUCUCAACUUCUUGUUACACUGUGAUCCCUGUAUUCUUUCUCCUGUCUGGUUUCCAUCCUACCUCAUGAAUAUUCUUUUAGAGGCUCUUACUGACUCUUCUGUCAGUCUUAUAAUGCCAUUGUUUCCCAGGGUUUCAUCCUCACGUUUUCUCUUCUCACUUUGGAUGCUUUCUCUGAACAAGCUCGUACGCUCCCAUCACUUCAACCAUAAUUGAUAUAUACACCGUAACUCACAAAUGUGCUCUUAGCACUGACCCUCCCACCGACAAAAGUAAGCCUCUUAAAGCUCCUGAGCACUAAGUGGUAGAUGAAGAGGAAGAUUAUUAUGUUGGCGGUGUGAGGAAUGGGUUGGAUGGAGGUACAGUACAGAAGGCAUGUGGGUCAGGAGCCUUUGGGUUUAGGUGAGAGGUUAUGAGGAGCUCUUGAUCUAUUGCAAAUUUGCUUUACUUCCAUUCUGCCUCUUGCCACAACAUCUUAAGUUAGGUGUUUAUGCGCCUGCCUCCUUUACCAGGCUGUUUGAGGGGAAGGACUAUGACUUUUCUCUUUGUCUCUUUCAUCCACAGUAAAUAUGGUAGUAUGAUUACUUACACCAUUCAGGCAGCAGUGGGCUAGGAAAAGAGGGAAGACGUCUUUGACGGUGAUAUACUUGUUGAAGGCACGUGUUGACCAGUUGGAUGUGAAGCCUGAGAAGCGUGACGAGCACUGACCAGAUGGUUAGUUAUGGAGACGUCCAUAAUUGGAACCCAAAGCCUGCAUUCCAAGCCAGUGUGCUGGAGACUACUGGAGACCACACCAGGCCCUUGGCUACCUUCUCUGUGGCCUCCAAAAGAGCAGCAAUCACAGCAGCACCAAAUUUAAGGACCAUGUGAAACUCCAAAUUAACCCUUCAGGAGCUCACCUGGCCGUAGAAGUCUUUGGCCUUCCCAAUCCAAACCCGUCUUACAGCAUUUGCUGAAUUGCUGCACUUCAACCUCAUUCAGCACAGACACGCAACACGCUCCUUCCAUGGCUGCUGUGGCUGAUGCUUUUCCUGAUGUUUGCUGUGGCCAAACGUUCAAGCCCCAGCACUCAUGUGCAGUUCUGUUUUAAUCAGCAGAAUCACUUAACAUCUGAGAAGUUCAGGCACAUUUCUUGUCAAUCAUGCGCUGGCCUCUGUCAGUCUUUGACCUCGCUUCUUUUAGAUUCCAUCUGCCUCUCCUCCUUCGAAACAUGAUGUGACUUAUUUCCAGAAUGGUUUUUUAGAAACUGAGAUUAUGGGAUAAUGAACUGAGCCAGUCUCCGUCAUAGAAAGGGUUUCUUCACCUUCCCCAGUGACUGACCAAAGCUGUGUUGCUAUUCAACAGAUAGCGACAUGUUCAUAGCGCAUAGCAUCAAAACAGCGCACCACUGUGCAGAUACUGACACGUCUAUGCAAUCAAGAACAGUGUGCCAGUGGGCGCUCCGAGUCCCAAGGAGGCACUUCCACUGAUAUCUUGGCCACGACGUGCAAGAGCAACAAGUCAUUAGAUUUGAUUUUCAGAGUUGUUCUACAAGGAACGUAGGCUUCACGUCAUACACGCUCCUCCUUGCUGGAGGGACCGUCCAUGCUGAUUUAUGGCAGUUAUCCCAAUGUCACACUGUCCUGCCUUGCAUUUGUCAUAGGCGGGAGUAUCCAGAUUUGGAAGAUAAAGCUUUCCCCCUGUUUGCUAUCUCCUCAUCCCACCCCGGCCCAUGAAUGGGACACAAGUCUCGCUUUGCAUGAACUGUGGCAAGGGAGUGUACUGUACUGUGAUCUGGGUGUGAGAAGAAGCCUAGACAAGAAAGGGCAGCCUUGUGCAAACAAAUGGGGAUCUCCAGCCAGGCCCACCUGGUCCCAGGUAGAGGCAGGGCAGGCUGCUGUAGGGGCUGAAAUCCACAGAAAGGUGGCCCCGGUCGCUGAAUACAGCAGGCUCAUGUAAGAGGCACUUCCUAGGAGUCUGUGGGAGACUGCGUUUUUUCUGGCACAGGACAUUAUGUAAAUGCUCAGGGAAGAGUCGUUAACUGAUUAACAGAUGAGUAUAAAUUACCGUGUAUGAUUAAGUGAUUAAUACCUAUUGUGAACUAGCAAAGCCCAAGGAGAAUAGAGCCUGAUGAAGUGAGACUAAAUAUUUUGCCUGUGCCGUUGCAAGGUUUUUAGGCACAUGUGUGGCAUCUCAUUUUGAUGUUCUUUUUCUUCUGUUAUUUUAUAACGGGGAAAGAAGAAAUGACAAAGGGCAGAGAAACCAAUCUUUAGUAAACCCAGACACAUCGUACACCCUGUGGCAGGGGCCUCUCGGCAGCUGCGUGUGGAAAUAGCUGUUGCCCCAUUUUACAGACCAAGCGAUGGGGCUUGGAGCAGCCAAGUGAACUGCCAAAGGUGGCAGAACCAGGACUGGCAGCCGGGAUGAAACCCAAAUCUCAUCAGCUUCCUGGGAUGAGAAGCUUAAAGGAAAACCAUGGCUUGAUCUUGGAUGAGUUGUGAUGAUUGUGAAAAUGACGAGUGUGUAAAAUUGGUGAUGGUGAUGACCAUCUCCGUUACGGAGCUCCCGGCACCCUGCUAAGCUUCGCAUGUUUGUUAUUUGACUGAAUACAUAUGAACUACCUGUGAGGUAGGUGUUAUGAACAUCUGGUUGUUCCAGAAUUCCAUCCCAGCUGUGUCUGCUAACAAAGCCUGUGUCCCCAGCCCUCGGUCUGCUGGGACAAAUGGAGCAGGACCCAAGGGUGGAUGCAAACUCCCAACUAGAGCUUGAUGCCAAGAAACCUUGAAGUCCCCAGCUUUGAGACGGAGCUGAGUGCCUGUUUGGACAAGAGCCCAAAGGAGAAAUCCCCUUUGCUUACCCCAAACCUCUUGAGCUUCUGGAAGGCAAGAGUGCAGCUGACUCCAUGCAAAGCCAGUGCCAUGCUUGUGCAGCGCUGAUGAACGUCACCAACGCUAGUGAGGACCACCUUCAAAACCCAUCCAGCCUCAACCAGUUUAAGCAUCCGUGUUCGUGACUCAGCCGUGUUUCUCUGAGUAACCAUCCCUGUGAUCCACGUAUCUGAUGCCAGAUUUUUCCUGCUGUUCUAAAUGUCCUGCCUCUGCUUUUGCAUGUAUCUCUAUGUAUUUUUGCAUUUUAGUAUGUAUAAUCUUACAAUUCACUAGAGAAAUAAGCCAAUGUGCAAAUAGACCAAUAAAUGAAGUGCUCAGAUCUGUAGGAAUAUCACAAGGCAUUACCGGGCCAUAUUUAAAAAUCCCCUUUUAAGAAGCAUAGCAAUAUUAUGUCAGAUCGUUU